CCUUGAAUUCUAUUUCAGAAAAUGCAGCCUGAGAGGAACACUGGAGGUAGAAGGGCAUCACAGACUGCUGACAAUGUUCAGGAAAGAACAAACCGUUUUUGUAAGGAGGAAGUUGAAGAGGGACAAUCAAAAAGUAAUCUGCAGCAGAGUGCUGGAGGGCAAAGCCACACUUUUAAUUUCCGCUACAAAUUCAAGACACAUACAGUGGCAUGUGAUACAUCCAUGACUGUGCUUGAUGCUCUUAAUACAAACAAGAUUUUCAGAAAGAUUAAGAAAGACAACAAUGAGAAAGAAAUAGUGAUCCAGAGAUCCAAAGGAGCAGUUCCUAGAGCGGCUAUCAAGACUGAUUUCCCCUGCUGUCUUAUUGAAAAACAUGAGGUUUUAGACAUAUCCUUCAUUAAAAAUCAUGGAAAUGUUGCUACAAAGAAAACAACAACUGGAAGGCUUUCAAUCUCCAAUGAAUCAAAAAGCUUAGUAAUCUUUUACAUUAAAACAAAAGGAGGUAAGAUAAACACGACUUAAUAGAAAAACAAUGAGCUAAAGAAGAAGGUUGAAGAUGUUUGUGUGUAUGCGUUCAAAGAAGACAAACUGAAUGCUGCUCUUCGGCGUGAUGGACGAUUCAUCAAUGCCAUAUUCAAUAAACAGUGUGUACUCUAUAACUUGG
rnacentral:lncRNA from 1 species